GUCUCCCUUGCAGCCUUAGUGUCUUCUCUCUGUGCAGAGACUUGGGCUUCAUAAAGGGCAAUCUGCUCACGAAGACGGUCCACCUCACAGCCUCUCCAUCUCUGCUUUCUGCACUGCACGUUUCAUUACAUUAAUGUCCGAACGCACAUCCCGAUUCAUAUUCUCCAUAUAAAAAAGCCUCAGUGCUAAAUUUUCUACCUCUGUCUGCAUGGAGGAUACUAGAAAAGAGAAGAUUUCAUGUACAUCAAGUGACAAUUCAACAUCUACAGUUGGAAACUGGAUCUGUACUGGUUCCUGCUAAAACUAACCAUAUUGUCUUUAAGUGUUAUAGAAAUUUUAGAUGCUCAUCCUCUUUCUGACGGCGUUGGACAGAGACAUGUGAAUGUUUGUCAUGCUGCUUUUCAAGUCCCAUCUGCAGGCGAGCCAGUUCCUGCUGCACCCCAUACAGAAACAUGCCAAGAUCCUCACGCUCUUUCUUAUUAUUCUUCAUGGAUUCAGUCUAAAAAUACACAAAAUAAAUAAUAUAAUAAUUGUUAUAAUUGUAAGAUAACUGUUUCAAGGUCUAUUGAACAGAUGGGUGUUAACUUUGUUACCUCAAUUCCUUGUUCAUUACUUACAUUUCUAAAAGAAACAAUGAGGUGAAGUUCUGCCCUGAAAUGUUUGCAAGCCCCACGCUUGAUGAAGGGCCGAGCACCCGAAACAUUGCAUUUACUAAUAAACCAUGCAGUGGGUUAACUCGCUUGAAAUUGCUCUUUUGUGCUGGUUUGACAUUUUGCUGACCUGAUAGCAAGGUGGCUGAUCCUCUGAACCAAGGACUAGGUGUAUUUUAAAGGAGAGGUAGUGGGUGUGUCGGUGCAACUGCACUUAUAGAAAGACCAUAAGCUAACUAUACAUUAUGAAACUUGGUUUACAGAUAUAGUUUAUAAUUUCAGUCUUUACUUUCUUCUACUCCUUCUAAGCUCCUUUCCUAUCCCCUAGAUUGAGAGAUGAAAUACCCUUAUACCUAAACCCUAAAUUCCACUUAAAAAUUUCAGUACCCUUAUAACUGCUCAAUUAAUUCCACGAGAUUAAUUUAAUAUCCUAGGUCUGAAACUCCCUCAACUUAACUAGAGAAAGUCAGUAACCCCUAUAUCUCCCUCCAACUCCCUAGAGAAAGCCAAUAACCCAUACUGGGAGUAUACUCCACUAGCGAUCCUCAAACCUAUGCUCUCUGCUCUUCUAGCAACAUUCUGUAGCCUCAUUUCUGCACUGUACUUUUCCUCUUAGGGAACAGUAUUCUCAUACUUGCACCCUAGAAAGAUUUAGUAUUCCUCCACCUUCGGACUGCAAUGCAUUCAUACCUGCAACCCCCUAACCCCCUUAGUAAAAUAUUCUCUGCAACCACAACUCCCAAGGCAGUAUUCUCAUACCUGGACACCCUUAACACCUCCCAACUGCACCCCCAACUCCAUUAAAUAUAUUCAAUAUAGAAUGCCAGAGUCCCAUAAAGCCUUCAUUUGAAUUUGUGCAUGAAUUUGUGAAUAUCUCUGCUAUAGAUUCAGUGUUCCCAUGCACGUACCAUUUCACGCAACUCUAGGUCCAGACUCUUGAUCUGUUUUGUUAGAUAGGUCUUGAGAGCCGUCUGGAAUCUUCCCAUCAGAGGCUGUUGAAAAGAAAGUAAACAAUUAAAAUGUUUUCUGAGCCAUAUAUAUUCUCUAUAUAAUAUGUAAUAUCUUUGUUAACCGGUUUUUAUGAUUAUGGGAACAUUAUACUAGGUACAUUUUAACACAUUAUAUCAUUUUCUUCCUGAUUAAAUUAAGCCUAACUUACAUACACCUGGGAUUAUUCGACUUAAAGGUAAUACUGUAUGAUGGGCAAAUUAAAAACACAGUUUUACACCAUACAAAAAGCCUCUGGCAGACGACUGCCUAUAUUAUAUUUUAAUAGUAUUGCAAGAUGCCUUGCAACACUCAGAGGCAUAUUUUUAAAAUGAAAGUUGGCUCAAUUGCCAGCACACUCAGAGCCCACUUUGUGUAGAAGUGAUAACUUCCAACAAAUGUACUACUGAGAGUAGCACAGCAGCAAAGAAAUCUCUGCCAAUUCUGAUAUUAGGUAACAUACUGCCAGUUUUACUGUCUUCUUUUCAUGUUUAAAGAAUGCAUUGACUACAAAGAACUAUAUAAUUUCAUCAGAUGAAGAUAUUCUCCACCAACAAGAAUGUCAUUUCAACCCCAGCGAAAAGCUAGGGCAACUCAUCCAACUGUCUCCUCUUCCCCUACUGGGUCAUCUGAAUCUUGGUUAUUUGCCUCAUCAUCAGUCUCUCCCAUCUGCAUGGCAAACUGAUGAAAAGUGGAAUAGGACGAUGACCCCACCACUCCUGUUUCACCUGGGUAAACAAGGAUGGAAAAGUUCCCAAUGAAGAAUACAAUGGAUACAGGUUGAAGGAUUAUGAGGCUCAUGUGGCUGUAUCUAGCUGCUUUUUUAAUGUGUCUGACCUUUCUUGCUAAAAGUGGAAGUUUACAGUUAAUACAUUCUAAUAAACAAGUUUAUUUGAUUAAAA